rnacentral:rRNA from 1 species
AGCGAACGCUGGCGGCAGGCCUAACACAUGCAAGUCGAACGAACCUUUCGGGGUUAGUGGCGGACGGGUGAGUAACACGUGGGAACGUGCCUUUAGGUUCGGAAUAACUCAGGGAAACUUGUGCUAAUACCGAAUGUGCCCUUCGGGGGAAAGAUUUAUCGCCUUUAGAGCGGCCCGCGUCUGAUUAGCUAGUUGGUUGAGGUAAUGGCUCACCAAGGCGACGAUCAGUAGCUGGUCUGAGAGGAUGAUCAGCCACAUUGGGACUGAGACACGGCCCAAAAUCCUACGGGAGGGAGCAGUGGGGAAUCUUGCGCAAUGGGCGAAAGCCUGACGCAGCCAUGCCGCGUGAAUGAUGAAGGUCUUAGGAUUGUAAAAUUCUUUCACCGGGGACGAUAAUGACGGUACCCGGAGAAGAAGCCCCGGCUAACUUCGUG